rnacentral:rRNA from 1 species
UGGGGAAUUUUGGACAAUGGGGGAAACCCUGAUCCAGCCAUCCCGCGUGUGCGAUGAAGGCCUUCGGGUUGUAAAGCACUUUUGGCAGGAAAGAAACGUCAUGGGUUAAUACCCCGUGAAACUGACGGUACCUGCAGAAUAAGCACCGGCUAACUACGUGCCAGCAGCCGCGGUAAUACGUAGGGUGCAAGCGUUAAUCGGAAUUACUGGGCGUAAAGCGUGCGCAGGCGGUUCGGAAAGAAAGAUGUGAAAUCCCAGAGCUCAACUUUGGAACUGCAUUUUUAACUACCGGGCUAGAGUGUGUCAGAGGGAGGUGGAAUUCCGCGUGUAGCAGUGAAAUGCGUAGAUAUGCGGAGGAACACCGAUGGAGAAGGCAGCCUCCUGGGAUAACACUGACGAUCAUGCACGAAAGCGUGGGGAGCAAACAGG